UACGUAGGGCGCAAGCGUUGUCCGGAAUUAUUGGGCGUAAAGAGCUCGUAGGCGGUUUGUCGCGUCUGCUGUGAAAACCUAAGGCUCAACCUUGGGCUUGCAGUGGGUACGGGCAGACUAGAGUGCGGUAGGGGUGACUGGAAUUCCUGGUGUAGCGGUGGAAUGCGCAGAUAUCAGGAGGAACACCGGUGGCGAAGGCGGGUCUCUGGACCGAUACUGACGCUGAGGCGCGAAAGCGUGGGGAGCAAACAGG
rnacentral:rRNA from 1 species